rnacentral:rRNA from 1 species
UACGAAGGGGGCUAGCGUUGUUCGGAAUCACUGGGCGUAAAGGGCGCGUAGGCGGCUUAACAAGUCACUUGUGAAAUCUCCGGGCUUAACUCGGAACGGCCAAGUGAAACUGUCAAGCUAGAGUGCAGAAGGGGCAAUCGGAAUUCUUGGUGUAGCGGUGAAAUGCGUAGAUAUCAAGAGGAACACCUGAGGUGAAGACGGGUUGCUGGGCUGACACUGACGCUGAGGCGCGAAAGCCAGGGGAGCAAACGGG